rnacentral:rRNA from 1 species
AGCAGCCGCGGUAAUUCCAGCUCCAAUAGCGUAUAUUAAAGUUGUUGCAGUUAAAAAGCUCGUAGUUGAAUUUCGGGAUCAAUCUAUCGGUCGUGCAAUAGUACGUACUGAUUUUAUUGAUUCCUCCCUUCUGAUGAACUAUGAUGUCAUUAAUUUGGUGUCAUAGGGAAUCAGGACUGUUACUUUGAAAAAAUUAGAGUGUUUAAAGCAGGCUCACGCUUGAAUACAUUAGCAUGGAAUAACGAAAUAGGACGUUUGAUUCUAUUUUGUUGGUUUCUAGGAUCGACGUAAUGAUUAAUAGGGAUAGUUGGGGGCAUUAGUAUUCAAUUGUCAGAGGUGAAAUUCUUGGAUUUAUUGAAGACUAACUACUGCGAAGGCAUUUGCCAAGGAUGUUUUCAUUAAUCAAGAACGAAAGUUAGGGGAUCGAAGACGAUCAGAUACCGUCGUAGUCUUAACCAUAAACUAUGCCGACUAGGGAUCGGAUGAUGUUAAUUUUUAAUGACUCAUUC